AGCUGCUCGUUGCUGCAGGCUUUUUCCACCGCUGCUCACCCUCACAGCUGCUGCAGCUGACACAAGCUUCUACCCUCUGUUGUGGAUACUGAAGGACUCCAUCAUUACACUUGGCUGUGUACUAGUGCCUGCUCAUGCUGCCGUUCUUUGCCACCUCAUCGCCAGGUGUGCACUGGUGCUUCCUGGAUUUGCUGCUACCAUCUCUGGCCUGACUGGAGGAAAGGGAGUAAUCACAAGCAAUUGCUGCUGGGUGUGAAAUACCUCCAGAGAAUCAGAAGUUCCUCUGCAUUAAGAAGAGGACCGCAUUUGCAAUGAUUAUGGCAGAAUUCCUAGGGAAAUGCUGAAUAUAAUCCUGACUACUCUUCAGUGCUUUUAAAAUAUCAAAUUAUUCUUUGUAAAAUCCAACAUUGUUAGAGUCUAUCUCAGUAUAUAAUAAUUUGGUUACCUUUAAUAUUAAACCAGACUAUCUAAAAUAUAUCUCCCU
rnacentral:lncRNA from 11 species